UACGUAGGUGGCAAGCGUUGUCCGGAUUUACUGGGCGUAAAGGAUGCGUAGGCGGACAUUUAAGUCAGAUGUGAAAUACCCGAGCUUAACUUGGGUGCUGCAUUUGAAACUGGGUGUCUAGAGUGCAGGAGAGGUAAGUGGAAUUCCUAGUGUAGCGGUGAAAUGCGUAGAGAUUAGGAAGAACACCAGUGGCGAAGGCGACCUUACUGGACUGUAACUGACGCUGAGGCAUGAAAGCGUGGGGAGCAAACAGG
rnacentral:rRNA from 1 species